rnacentral:rRNA from 1 species
UAAACUAGGAUUAGAUACCCUAUUAUUUUAAGCUGUAUAUUGUUAGUAUAUAAUUAAUAUGAAAUCAUAAGAUUUUGGCGGUAUUUUAAGCUUUUUAGAGGAAUUUGCUCUAUAAUGGAUAAAACGCCUAGAUCUUACUUAAUUUUGUUAAGACAAUUUGUAUACCACUAUAUUUAAUUAUAUUGAAUAAUGAUAUUUAAUAUUUUAAAAUGAAAAUAUAUUAAGUCAAGGUGCAAUAUAAAAUUAUGAAUGAAGUGAAUUACAUUGAUUUUAAUUAAAUAUAUAUAGAUGAAAAAUUAAAUUUAGGAUUUAAAAGUAAAUUAUUAAUAUAAUGAAUAUUUGAAUAUAGCUCUAAGAUAUGCACAUAUCGCCCGUCGCUCUCAAAUUUGAGAUAAGUCGUAACAUAGUAAAA